GUGCAGCAGCCGCGGUAAUACGGAGGGUGCAAGCGUUGUCCGGAAUCACUGGGUGUAAAGGGUGUGCAGGCGGGGCAGCAAGUCGGAUGUGAAAGCCCGUGGCUCAACCACGGAAGCGCCUUCGAUACUGCUGCUCUUGAGUCCCGGAGAGGCUGUCGGAAUUCGUGGUGUAGCGGCGAAAUGCGUAGAUAUCACGAGGAACACCAGAGGCGAAAGCGGACAGCUGGACGGGUACUGACGCUCAGGCACGAAAGCGUGGGGAGCAAACAGGAUUAGAAACCCGGGUAGUCC
rnacentral:rRNA from 1 species